rnacentral:lncRNA from 1 species
GGACGAAAGACGAUAAUUACACAUAAAAUGUUACCGACUUUUCUGUAAGUGGUGUUAAUUAGUUGAGAUCGACUCUGUCACAGAGGGAGAUUUUGUCCUAAUUACAUACCGAGUAAGAACGGAAAACAUCCGAGGUGUCAUAAACUGACCGGAUAUACAAUUAUUGAAAUGUUAAUCAGAUUUUUUGUGAUAUUUUUUAUUAAGUAAUUAAAAAUUAAAAUUUAUGUUAAAAGUAAACUUAUUACCAAUAGAAAUAAAACGAAUAUCCGUCUCAUUGCCGUCAAUGUUAAUAUCAACAGUCAUAACAGAAAGUCACUUUUACGAUGUUCCCGAUAAAUUUCUCUAUGUUUCAAUUGCAAAUAUUCCUUCCGGUCGUUACCGGUCACCGUAACUAAAGUACUUUGCAUAUUCGUAUAUUUUCUAUGAUUAUUACCUGCCAAUUCUCAUAAGCAGGAAUUGACAGGUGAAGCGAAAA